AAAUUGAAGAGUUUGAUCAUGGCUCAGAUUGAACGCUGGCGGCAGGCCUAACACAUGCAAGUCGAACGGUAGCACAGAGGAGCUUGCUCC
rnacentral:rRNA from 1 species